GACGUAGGGCGCGAGCGUUGUCCGGAUUUAUUGGGCGUAAAGAGCUCGUAGGCGGCUUGUUGCGUCAGCUGUGAAAACCCGCAGCUCAACUGUGGGCUUGCAGCUGAUACGGGCAGGCUUGAGUUCGGUAGGGGAGACUGGAAUUCCUGGUGUAGCGGUGAAAUGCGCAGAUAUCAGGAGGAACACCAGUGGCGAAGGCGGCUCACUGGACCGGUACUGACGCUGAGGCGCGAAAGCGUGGGGAGCAAACGGG
rnacentral:rRNA from 1 species